rnacentral:rRNA from 1 species
UACGUAGGGUGCAAGCGUUAAUCGGAAUUACUGGGCGUAAAGCGUGCGCAGGCGGUUUGUUAAGUCCGUUGUGAAAUCCCCGAGCUCAACUUGGGAAUUGCAAUGGAUACUGGCAAGCUGGAGUAUGGUAGAGGAAGGUGGAAUUCCCGGUGUAGCAGUGAAAUGCGUAGAGAUCGGGAGGAACACCAGUGGCGAAGGCGGCCUUCUGGACCAAUACUGACGCUCAUGCACGAAAGCGUGGGGAGCAAACAGG